rnacentral:lncRNA from 1 species
CUUUCAUAGAGAAGAGCAUGGUUAAUAUCAAUGAUUAAUUAAGUAUCAUUUUUAAUUUUUAACAGACAGAAGAGCUAAAAAGACAACUUACAAAGGAAAAGCAGGCCAAAAUAUUCUAUGCUAUAAAUGAUCUAUUCCCUUCCCAUCCUAACAAACCAGGGGCUGAUAGUGCAUUACUGUAAAGAAAGACUGUACAUUAUUUAAGAAGACCUGGGGGCUGGGGAUUUAGCUCAGUGGCAAAGCGCCUGCCUGUCAAGCGCAAGGUCAUGAGUUUGGUUCCUGGUACCGGAGAAAAACCAAAAAAAAAAAAAAAAAAAAAGAAGACCUGG